rnacentral:ncRNA from 2 species
CAGGUCGACCACGGGAGCCCGCGGCAGCGGGCUGAGAAAGGGCUGGAGCCGCCCUGACCGUCAUACCUGAUCCGGGUCAUACCGGCGGAGGGACGUCCGGCCGACCCGGA